rnacentral:rRNA from 1 species
AUUGAACGCUGGCGGCAGGCCUAACACAUGCAAGUCGAGCGGCAGCACGGGUACUUGUACCUGGUGGCGAGCGGCGGACGGGUGAGUAAUGCCUAGGAAUCUGCCUAGUAGUGGGGGAUAACGUCCGGAAACGGGCGCUAAUACCGCAUACGUCCUACGGGAGAAAGUGGGGGGUCUUCGGACCUCACGCUAUUAGAUGAGCCUAGAUCGGAUUAGCUAGUUGGUGAGGUAAUGGCUCACCAAGGCGACGAUCCGUAACUGGUCUGAGAGGAUGAUCAGUCACACUGGAACUGAGGCACGGUCCAGACUCCUACGGGAGGCAGCAGUGGGGAAUAUUGGACAACGGGCGAAAGCCUGAUCCAGCCAUGCCGCGUGUGUGAAGAAGGUCUUCGGAUUGUAAAGCACUUUAAGUUGGGAGGAAGGGCAGUUACCUAAUACGUGAUUGUUUUGACGUUACCGACAGAAUAAGCACCGGCUAACUCUGUGCCAGCAGCCGCGGUAAUACAGAGGGUGCAAGCGUUAAUCGGAAUUACUGGGCGUAAAGCGCGCGUAGGUGGUUUGUUAAGUUGGAUGUGAAAGCCCCGGGCUCAACCUGGGAACUGCAUCCAAAACUGGCAAGCUAGAGUAUGGUAGAGGGUGGUGGAA